GGACGAACGCUGGCGGCGUGGAUUGGGCAUGCAAGUCGGACGGUAGGACUUUAUCGUAAGAUAGAGUUUGAGAGUGGCGAACGGGUGAGUAAUACGUAGGAAUCUACCCUUAAGACGGGGACAACUCAGGGAAACUUGGGCUAAUACCGGAUGCGAGUGUAUGAGAGUACAUUUAAAAGGAUGGUGAAAGCUAUCGCUUAGGGAUGAGCCUGCGGUCUAUUAGCUAGUUGGUGGGGUAAGAGCUCACCGAGGCGAUGAUAGAUAGGCGGCCUUAACGGGUGGUCGCCCACACUGGGAUUGAGAUACGGCCCAGACUCCUACGGGAGGCAGCAGUCGAGAAUAGUCUACAAUGGCCGGAAGGCUGAUAGUGCGACGCCGCGUGAACGAGGGAGCCCUUCGGGGUGUAAAGUUCUUUUCUAUACGAGCAGUGCUAUAUAUAUUCAAAGUAUAUAUAGAGGGAUAGUAGUAUAGGAAUAAGCAACGGCUAACUCCGUGCCAGCAGCCGCGGUAACACGGGGGUUGCGAGCGUUGUCCGGAAUUACUAGGCGUAAAGGGCAGGUAGGCGGAUCUACGAGUUUUUUGUUAAAGGCUACGGCUUAACUGUAGUAAGGCAGGAGAUACUGUAGGUCUGGAAUGCGGUAGGGGAAGACAGAAUUCCUGGUGUAGCGGUGGAAUGCGCAGAGAUCAGGAGGAAUACCGAAGGCGAAGGCAGUCUUCUAGGCCGUAAUUGACGCUUAACUGCGAAGGUGUGGGGAUCAAACAGGAUUAGAUACCCUGGUAGUCCACACAGUAAACGAUAAUCACUAGAUGUCGGAUUCUAGAUGGAUUCGGUGUCGGAGCUAACGCGAUAAGUGAUUCGCCUGGGGAGUACGAUCGCAAGGUUGAAACUCAAAGGAAUUGACGGGGGCCCGCACAAGCGGUGGAGCAUGUGGUUUAAUUCGAGGCAACGCGAAGAACCUUACCCGGUCUUGACAUCCGCGGGAGGCUUCAGAGAUGGAGCUGUGCCGGCGUAAGCUGGAGCCUCUACAGGUGUUGCAUGGCUGUCGUCAGCUCGUGUCGUGAGAUGUUCGGUUAAGUCCAGCAACGAGCGCAACCCCUACCUUUAGUUGCCAGCAGGUAAAGCUGGGGACACUAGAGGGACUGCCUGCGCAAGCAGAGAGGAAGGUGGGGAUGACGUCAAAUCAGCACGGCCCUUAUGUCCAGGGCUACACACGUGCUACAAUGGUAACUACAGAGGGCAGCGACUAGGCGACUAGGAGCGAAUCUCGAAAAGUUACCUCAGUUCGGAUUGGAGUCUGCAACUCGACUCCAUGAAGGUGGAUUCGCUAGUAAUCGCGCAUCAGCAAUGGCGCGGUGAAUACGUUCCCGGGCCU
rnacentral:rRNA from 1 species